rnacentral:rRNA from 1 species
GGGGSGUUGGSGGUAAAAGGAAGUCUUUUGUGAAAACUAAUGSUUCAACGAUAGGCUAGCGGAUGAAACUGAAUUACUUGAGGGCACCAGAGGUAGACGGAAUUCCCGAGUAGGGGUGAAAUCCGCAGAUACGGGUAGGAACGCCGGUGGAGAAGUCGGUCUACUGGGGUGCACCAGACGCUGAGGCCCGAAAGCUAGGGGAACAAACCGGAUUAGAUACCCGGGUAGUCCUAGCCGUAACCUUUUCUCACUAGGUGUAGGGAGUGAUAAACUCUCUGUGCUGAAGCGAACGCGCUAAGUGAGCCGSCCUGGG